UGCGGAAGGAUCAUUAAAGAGUAAGGGUUAUUCGUAGCCCGACCUCCAACCCUUUGUUGUUAUAACUACCUCGUUGCUUUGGCGGGACCGCUCGGUCUCGAGCUGCCGGUCUUCGGCCCGGCAAGUGCCCGCCAGAGUCUACUCAAACUCUUGUUUUAACCGGUCGUCUGAGUUAAACUUUUAAUUAAAUUAAAACUUUCAACAACGGAUCUCUUGGUUCUCGCAUCGAUGAAGAACGCAGCGAAAUGCGAUAAGUAAUGUGAAUUGCAGAAUUCAGUGAAUCAUCGAAUCUUUGAACGCACAUUGCGCUCCCUGGUAUUCCGGGGAGCAUGCCUGUUCGAGCGUCAUUACACCACUCAAGCACUGCUUGGUAUUAGGCCAUCGUCCCCCGCAAGGUGGGCGUGCCUCAAACACCUCGGCGGAGCCUCACCGGCUUUGGGCGUAGUAGAAUUUCUCAACGUCUUGCAAGUACCGGUCUGACUCCUUUGCCGUUAAACCACCAAUCUUUUACAGGUUGACCUCGGAUCAGGUAGGGAUACCCGCUGAACUUAAGCAUAUCAAU
rnacentral:rRNA from 1 species